GGGACCCGCACAAGCAGCGGAGCGUGUGGUUUAAUUCGUUGCUACACGAAGAACCUUACCUGGGUUUGACAUAUAGGUUGUAGGGAACUGAAAGGGACCGACCCUUCGGGGAGCCUAUACAGGUGUUGCAUGGCUGUCGUCAGCUCGUGUCGUGAGAUGCUCGGUUAAGUCCGCUAACGAGCGCAACCCUCGUCGUAUGUUAUAUGUGUCAUACGAGACUGCCGGUAAAAAGCCGGAGGAAGGUGAGGAUGAUGUCAAGUCAGCAUGACCUUUAUAUCCAGGGCUACACACACGCUACAAUGGUCUGUACAAUGGGUAGCCAAGCCGCGAGGCGGAGCCAAUCCUGAAAGCAGGCCUCAGUUCAGAUUGCAGUCUGCAACUCGACUGCAUGAAGCCGGAGUUGCUAGUAACCGCAGGUCAACAAUACUGCGGUGAAUACGUUCCCGGGUCUU
rnacentral:rRNA from 1 species